UCCUCUGUGCCUUUUUGUUCUCACCC
rnacentral:piRNA from 1 species